rnacentral:sRNA from 1 species
GGCGAAGCUCGGCUACUCGGGCGU